rnacentral:lncRNA from 1 species
AAGUGUCACGCGUCCGUUAGAUAAUGACUUAUUUUAUUUUAUUUUUGUUAAUUAAUGAAAAAUACAGUUGCUCCGCAACUCACUCUCUUCUCUUGUUGAGUGAUUUGAGGACCAGUCUCUUCUCACUUGAUCAGCCUCUGAAUUCUGGUCAACCCCCAAAUGACGAUCUUGUCCUUCUUCACCAGAGCACAAGAGCUUUCAAUGGCUGCCCACCCUGUUGCCUCCAAGCUUCUGGUGCUCUGUACUAUCAGGUUCUCAGUUUUCUUGUUUACCAUGUUAUUUUCUUUUCGAUCUGUUUGGCUUCUGAGAAAAAUGCAUGACAAGAAAAUGAGUUGGGUUGAAAUAUUUUCUAUCAUAGCGUAUAAAGACACAUUCUUUUUUAGUUUUGGUUGUAUUUCAACGAAGCAUCAUUUUUUUCCUAGUUCAGGCAAAAUGUCAUAGCUCAUAAGCUCUGAAUCUAAAUUUUUCUUUGAAUCUCAGUUUUCUAAGCCAACAGACGCUAGACUUUGUUUGGUUACUGAGAAAAAUAGGCUGCAAAUGUUUGUUUUGGAGUCCUAGCUAUGCUGACUUUAUUUAAUUAGAGAAAAUAGACUCCAAAAUGUAUGCUCAGUAGCCUACAGGCCCCACCCCGUUUCCACUGAGAACCCUAGAAAUUUAUAUAGUGAAUAAUUUCUAAAAUCUACAGGCCCCAUCCCGUCUCCACCGAGUGCCCUAGAAAAUUGAACCUUUCCUCUCCCCAGCUGUUUUUGGCUUCGUAUGUGGAUUAUUUUUCCCUAUGAUUAUGGCUUUCGAAUUCAAUCAAAUUAGCUAUCUUCUGUUCCCAGCGCAUUUCGCGGCCGAGCUGGAAUUAAAGAAAUCGGCAGGCAAACGCAAAGCCCUGCUAAUCAAUUUGUUGUUGGAGGAUUUAGAUUGUGUACUGAUUAAUUUGUUUGCAGGAGGAUCAAUUGGUACAAACAAGGAUCGAAACAAGAGGAUGUUUGGUGGAGAAAAUGGCAUGCGAAAAUCAUUACCUUCGAUUAAUCAUGUCUUGAUGGGUUCAGAUUGUACAAAUUUUUUUAUUGGAAUUCAGGCCAAAAACGGACGUCUACUUGUCUAUGAAUGUUGUAAACUUUGUUGUAAUCGGAAUUUGAAAAUUUUAACAUAUUUUUGUUUUUGUGAUCAAUUUUUGUUAGUUAAACUUGUAUGGAUCGG